rnacentral:rRNA from 1 species
AACCUCCGCAAUGUGAGAAAUCGCGACGGGGGGAUCCCAAGUGCCAUUCUUAACGGGAUGGCUUUUCAUUAGUGUAAAGAGCUUUUGGAAUAAGAGCUGGGCAAGACCGGUGCCAGCCGCCGCGGUAACACCGGCAGCUCUAGUGGUAACAAUUUUUAUUGGGCCUAAAGCGUCCGUAGCCGGUUUAAUAAGUCUCUGGUGAAAUCCUGCAGCUUAACUGUGGGAAUUGCUGGAGAUACUAUUAGACUUGAGACCGGGAGAGGUUAGAGGUACUCCCAGGGUAGAGGUGAAAUUCUGUAAUCCUGGGAGGACCGCCUGUUGCGAAGGCGUCUAACUGGAACGGUUCUGACGGUGAGGGACGAAAGUUAGGGGCGCGAACCGGAUUAGAUACCCGGGUAGUCCUAACUGUAAACGAUGCGGACUUGGUGUUGGGGUGGCUUUGAGCUGCUUCAGUGCCGAAGGGAAGCUGUUAAGUCCGCCGCCUGGGAAGUACGGUCGCAAGACUAGAACUUAAAGGAAUU